rnacentral:rRNA from 1 species
GUUUAAAGGGUCCGUAGGCGGUUUAGUAAGUCAGUGGUGAAAGCCCAUCGCUCAACGGUGGAACGGCCAUUGAUACUGCUAAACUUGAAUUAUUAGGAAGUAACUAGAAUAUGUAGUGUAGCGGUGAAAUGCUUAGAGAUUACAUGGAAUACCAAUUGCGAAGGCAGGUUACUACUAAUGGAUUGACGCUGAUGGACGAAAGCGUGGGUAGCGAACAGGAUUAGAUACCCUGGUAGUCCACGCCGUAAACGAUGGAUACUAGCUGUUGGAAGCAAUUUCAGUGGCUAAGCGAAAGUGAUAAGUAUCCCACCUGGGGAGUACGUUCGCAAGAAUGAAACUCAAAGGAAUUGACGGGGGCCCGCACAAGGCGGUGGAGCAUGUGGUUUAAUUCGAUGAUACGCGAGGAACCUUACCAAGGCUUAAAUGUAGAUUGACCGGUUUGGAAACAGACUUUUCGCAAGACAAUUUACAAGGUGCUGCAUGGUUGUCGUCAGCUCGUGCCGUGAGGUGUCAGGUUAAGUCCUAUAACGAGCGCAACCCCUGUUGUUAGUUGCCAGCGAGUCAUGUCGGGAACUCUAACGAGACUGCCAGUGCAAACUGAGAGGAAGGUGGGGAUGACGUCAAAUCAUCACGGCCCUUACGCCUUGGGCUACACACGUGCUACAAUGGCCGGUACAGAGAGCGGCCACUGGGUGACCAGGAGCGAAUCUAUAAAACCGGUCACAGUUCGGAUCGGAGUCUGCAACUCGACUCCGCGAAGCUGGAAUCGCUAGUAAUCGGAUA